rnacentral:rRNA from 1 species
AGCAGUCGCCGCGGGAACACAGAGGGUGCGAGCGUUAAUCGGAUUUACUGGGCGUAAAGCGUGCGUAGGCGGCUUCUUAAGUCGGAUGUGAAAUCCCUGAGCUUAACUUAGGAAUUGCAUUCGAUACUGGGAAGCUAGAGUAUGGGAGAGGAUGGUAGAAUUCCAGGUGUAGCGGUGAAAUGCGUAGAGAUCUGGAGGAAUACCGAUAGCGAAGGCAGCCAUCUGGCCUAAUACUGACGCUGAGGUACGAAAGCAUGGGGAGCAAACAGGAUUAGAGACCCCGGUAGUCCCUGUCUCUUAUAC